rnacentral:rRNA from 1 species
UCCCCCUACGGGACGCAGCAGUGGGGAAUAUUGGGCAAUGGGCGCAAGCCUGACCCAGCAACGCCGCGUGAAGGAAGAAGGCUUUCGGGUUGUAGACUUCUUUUGUCAGGGACGAAGCAAGUGACGGUACCUGACGAAUAAGUCACGGCUAACUACGUGCCAGCAGCCGCGGUAAUACGUAGGUGGCAAGCGUUAUCCGGAUUUAUUGGGUGUAAAGGGCGCGUAGGCGGGAAUGCAAGUCAGAUGUGAAAACUAUGGGCUCAACCCAUAGCCUGCAUUUGAAACUGUAUUUCUUGAGUGCUGGG